CCUACGGGAGGCAUCAGUGAGGAAUAUUGGUCAAUGGCCGGAAGGCUGAACCAGCCAUGCCGCGUGAAGGUCAGUGCCCUAUGGGCGUUAAACUUCUUUUGUGCGGGAGCAAUAAUGGUCACGUGUGGCCAGACGAGAGUACCGUACGAAUAAGCAUCGGCUAACUCCGUGCCAGCAGCCGCGGUAAUACGGGGGAUGCAAGCGUUAUCCGGAUUUAUUGGGUUUAAAGGGUGCGUAGGCUGUGAGGUAAGUCAGCGGUGAAAUGCCCCCGCUCAACGGGGUGAAGUGCCAUUGAUACUGCCUGGCUGGAAUGCGGAUGCCGUGGGAGGAAUGUGUGGUGUAGCGGUGAAAUGCAUAGAUAUCACACAGAACACCGAUUGCGAAGGCAUCUCACGAAUCCGCGAUUGACGCUGAUGCACGAAAGCGUGGGUAUCAAACAGGAUUAGAUACCCGGGUAGUC
rnacentral:rRNA from 1 species